UUUUACACUUUCAUCCUCACUAUUUGCUAGAUACGUGCUCGGUUAAGAAAUAUUUUCAUAGCUUCUUAAUGUAAAAUUGACACUGCUCAAUUUGAAAGAAAUUUAAAUACAUGAAUUUUACAAAUGUGACGAAUAAUCAUAACGGGAUGGUUUUAAAGAUCAACAUACCUAAAUUUAAGACAGUAUGUAAAACGUAAAACUUGCGUAGGAAAUCGUGACGUAUAAUGGCUUAGUUAUAUUCAAUCAUUGAUCAAACGUUAAUUAAGUAAUUUCGAUAGAAGAUAACGGAGGGGGAUGAAGAGGGGCGAGGAAUCACGAGGCCGCAGCUCGUGGAGGGGCUCACCGCUCAGUGCGGGGUCCCUCGUCGCUGGCCUACUCAUCAAUGAAGCUCUCACUGAUAAAGUGCUGUGUCGUCAAGUAGUGUUGCUGUCAGUGCGUGGGCGCGCGGCGUCGUGACGCGGUCACCUGUACCUUAUAUUUACUCUGUACCAUACUACAUCUAUAUCAUUACUCGUUAAUUAUAUUCAUGUGUGAUAUCCGAAA